AGCAGCGUCCUCCUCACUCAGCUCCUGCCGGAUGUCUCUCCACUGCUUCAUGUUGUGAUAGAAAUAGUCGUCGCAAGCCAAAAAUGGUGAAGCAAUAGCAUGACACACAUUGUCAAGCAUGGCUGAUAGAAAGGGAAAACCUGUCACUCCGAUCAAAACACUCUCAAAGAAAGACCAAAAGGAGCUCAAGAAAAAGGAGGAAGAAAAAGCAGCAGAGGUUUUUGAAGAAUUCUUGGCUUCGUUUGAAAGCAACAAGAAAGGUGGAGGGAAAACGUUUGUCCAUGGAGGAAUCGUGAAUGCAACUAAAGAGGAGAAGGGCAACCGCAGGCAAGAAAAGUGAAGCUUUUAUCG